UGUAUCUCACAACGCUACCUACACACACUACCAGGGUUUCUGCUCGAGCAGAUACUGACUCGUUCCGUAGCACAGCAAAAGUGUAUGCAUUAUUUGUUGCUUAGUUUCAGCAGAGAUUCCAAAGCGUUUGGGUGUGUUUUUUUUUCGUAUAACGGGCUGUCACUUUGUAGCUGAGCUGUCAAACGUCACGACCACUGCAAAGACUAAGAAGAAAAAUACACAAAUAAAACCAGAGUGCGUGUGUGUGACUGGAUAAAACGCCACCAGACAAUUAAUGAGAAAAAAAUUUGGCAACUUUUCAAGAAACUAAUUAAAUAAAAGCAAGAAAUAUUAAAAAAAAACGAAAGGUAACUGCGUGGUGACGCGCAUUUGUUGACAUUGAAAUUGUGUCGAAACGCUGGUGUAUCGAGCAAAAGUUUUAUUAAUUUUAAUUUUAAUAGUUGUGUAAUCGCAGCUAAAGUAGCUACAGCAGCAAACGAGUUGACUUUUAAUUAGUGUAACGGCGCAAAAGUACAAUAAAAAAUUAAAAAAAAAAAAAUAGUUAGCGAAAAAAUAGUGAGCUAAUACCUACACACAUACACACAUAUAUUUAAACAAAAAAUACGUAAGCAAGUGUAUUCGCUUCUAUAGAAUCCAAUAAUCGAGCGAGCGAUCGAAGCAGAUAGCUGAAGUUUUACGUACGUAGAACAACCCCCCACCCGCAGCAGCAGCAGCAGCAGCAACGUCGCCGCGACACGUCCAACUCCGACGCAGCAAUACAUACAAGCAAGGCGAAAGAACUGGUAUAUCAAGCAGCAAAUUCUUAGAAUUUAAUCGGCAAAAAUCAGCAAGUGCUGCCACAACAACAAAAACAAUAGCAGAGAAGGUAGGAGCAACAAGAAUUCUCACUGCGAUAACCGCCUAAUCAAGCAAAGCAGAACAACAAAAACAAUUAUCCGCAAUAGAAGCGGUUAACGAAUCUCCCCUGACCCAACAACCUCCGUCUCCCCCCUCCUUCAAGCAAAAUGCAGGCCAUCAAGUGCGUCGUUGUCGGCGAUGGUGCCGUUGGUAAGACUUGCCUACUCAUCAGUUACACAACAAAUGCCUUUCCCGGCGAAUAUAUACCCACCGUAUUUGACAAUUACUCCGCCAAUGUGAUGGUCGAUGCGAAACCCAUCAAUUUGGGUCUUUGGGAUACAGCCGGUCAGGAGGAUUACGAUCGUUUGCGUCCACUCUCCUAUCCGCAGACUGAUGUCUUUCUCAUUUGUUUCUCUUUGGUAAAUCCGGCCUCAUUCGAGAAUGUACGCGCCAAAUGGUAUCCGGAGGUACGUCAUCACUGUCCCAACGUGCCGAUCAUUUUGGUGGGCACCAAGUUGGAUUUGCGCGACGAUAAGGCCACAAUCGAGAAGCUGAAGGAGAAGAAACUCACACCCAUCACCUACCCACAGGGUUUGGCUAUGGCGAAGGAGAUUGGUGCUGUUAAGUAUCUGGAAUGUUCGGCGCUGACGCAGAAGGGCUUGAAAACGGUAUUCGAUGAGGCCAUACGUUCGGUGCUGUGCCCGGUGAUGCGCGUGAAGCGAUCGCGCAAGUGCGAGCUGUUGUAAGACGAUGGUGGGCGUGAGCUGAAAUGUUGGAGGAAGUGACGAAGUUGCAUUUUUUUAUUUUUAUUAUUAUUUUUUUUUGCUUUAAUGGAUCUAAGACAAAAGUCGUACGAAGAGGAUGGAGAUUCAAGCGGAAAGCAAUUUUUGCAAGCAGUCUUGCGGAAGAUAUCAGACAUACAUACAUACGUAUAUUUAUGUGUAUGUAUAUUUAUUUGUGUCAACAAGUAACUAGUUAUUAUACAUAAAAAUUUGAAGAAAAAAAUAAAAAAAACCAAGAAAGUGGAAAACAUCAGUGAAAUUAUAAAAGCAAUUUAAUAACUAAUUAAUGCACUUUGUAACGUUGUACAUAGUAUUUGCGUAACCUAUUUAUGUAAACAAAGGUGCGAAUGUAUGCGUGUACAUAAGCAGCAAAGCGCAUACUUUUCAUUUUUUCAUAUUUUUAUUUUUUUUCUUUUAGUUUUUAUUUGUUUUUCUCUUUAUUUUAUUUUUUCGUUCUUUCGUUAUUAUCGCUUCAUAUAACAAAUAUGGAUACUUCGGUUAAUGUGUGGGGCGCACAGAACAAAAGUAAACCAACAAAAAUGAAAAAAAAAAUCGUACUCAUUGUAAUAAAGUAAUACGACAAAAGCCAGACCAAAGCCGAAGCUUAAUUCAAUUGAUUGCUUUGGAAUUUAUCUCCAGCAAACUGGAACCAGCAGCAGCAGCUGGUUGUGUGUGGGUUGCUGACAGAAGAGAAGCACUUUAAAUGUUUAUUCUCUCGACAAGGCAAUCGAGUGCAGCUGAGAAGAGAGCGUUCUUAAUUUUAUUUGCACAAAUGGACGCUUGGUUUUGUUUGCGAAUAACUAGGAAGGAAAAACUCGAAAUAACCAUUCAUAGAAAUUUUAACCGCUCAGAAAAAAUUUCGAAAUUUUUGAGUUGUUCGAGGCUUUUUCCUUUAGGAAAAAAUAUUUUGAAUUUAAGUUAAAUAUUCUUAAUAGUUUACAGUGACUUUGUGACUCUGCAUCGAAUGAAUAUACUAUGUACAUGUAUUUUGAACAAUUAUUCCUUUUUACCCCGCAGUCCUUAAUUAGGAAAAUAAAGGUUAGUAUCCAUAUGGCUACCAUGGGCACGAAAGGGUUAAGGGAAUACCAGCAAACCGUUUUGAGUAUGAAUUUUAUAGUACAAAGCUAAAGUUAUAAGUAGAUCGUCGCAAUUUAUUGUUUUGAGCGAAAAUAAUCGUGAAAAGUGCGGAGGAAAUGGGACCUAAUAAAAUCUAGGAGAAUAGAAAAAAACCAUUGAACAUUAAUGUUUGAAGAUAAAACAAAAUACAACAACUAAGUUUAUUUGCGGAAAGUAAUACUCGUUAAAGGCAAAAUAUUUAAACUUUUGUGAGAUUUUAUAACACAACAGUGUUGCCAGAUUUUUUUAUUUUUGUCAAAGAACUGUUAAAUUCCGUAAACAAAUGGAUUUUCGACCCUUCAAAAACGAAGAGAAUUUUUAAAAAAUUAAGGCCUUUUAAUUUUAUUAAACAUGAAUAACAAACGAGUAACUUAAAAUAUAAUAUCAUAAACCGUUUAAAUUAUACCAAACUAAAAAAAAAAACUUUAUAAAAUGGAACAUUUAGAUCACAUGUUUAACGAAAUUCAGUUGUAUUAAUUUUUUUUUAUUUAAUACCUCCUGGAGCUUUUUUCCAAGAAAUCUUUAGUCCUUAAAUUACCAGAGAGUUGCCAAUUUAUUUCUUGUUUUAUUCAAAUUGAUUUUGGAAAAUAUUCUUUUCAUAAUUGCUGUGACGACUGGAUUGCAAAGGACCACUGAAACCGUUGGUUUCAAAUGAGGAAACCCUGCUCCUUCAUCGUCCUUUUUAUCUUUAAAAUCUACUUACAAAAAACCGAAAGAGCUGCAAUGCGUUGUUUGGUGCCGUGGAAAGGCGUUAUGAUUGCAAGCACAGACGGCAGCUUUACCAGUAGGAGCUGGAGAAGCGCUACCAAAACUCCAACGGUACUCUGCAGAAAUUCGCUCCCCGAAUUAAGGGAUUGCAAUUCCGGUUUUUUGUCCUCCUUUUUGAGAGGCAGUUUUGUCAAAUUAAAGGACUUCGUCAUUUCCAAAAUUUUCUCCUUGGGAUUUAUUUAACAAUCCCACUUCCGACAUGCGAUUAUCCUUCAAUUCAACUCGUAUUCGUUUCACUGGAUUGUUUAAUAAACGCUCAAUUUGCAGUACAACAGCCAACACCUUAAAAUACAUGUUGAGGCACGUCCUUCUCUUGUGGAACGAUCGGUCAUUCUUCUCUAGUUUGUUUUGACCUGCAAUUCAUGUUUUGAAGAAUUCGCCACACUAUGACUACACAUCUGCGUUCGAUUUGCAAUAAAAAAUUCAAGUAAUUUUCUGUUUUAACCCCGCAAAGUCAUCAGCAGCAAAUCGGAUAUUUAAAUUGAUAGCUCGCACACACGUAAAUACAUAUAUACGAACAUAUAUACACAUUUAGUAAGAAGAUAAAUAAAAAUUUGUAUGUCUGCACUGCACCACCCCCCUGCAACUGUAUUUGUUCAAAUUCAAAAGAAAACUUUCCGGCCAGCAUAUGUUUAGAGAAAAAUUCCGGAAAAUGUGUAAAGUUUAUGUCUUUGGCCUGGUUUUUUUGUUUGCACCCCUAAAGAAAAUCUAUUUAAUUUUUUAAUUUAUUAUGCAAAGAAAAAAUAAAUAUUUAAAUAAAAUUCGAGAAAUUUAUGUAUGUAUUACAUUUUCGGCAUGGCUUUCCAGUAAGUUGCAAAUAUUGUAAUAGCAGAAAAAAAACAAAAACCGUAAAAAAAA